GAGUUUGAUCCUGGCUCAGGAUGAACGCUGGCGGCGUGCCUAACACAUGCAAGUCGAGCGAAGCACUUUAAUUUGAUUCUUCGGAUGAGGAUUUUUGUGACUGAGCGGCGGACGGGUGAGUAACGCGUGGGCAACCUGCCUUACACAGGGGGAUAACAGUUAGAAAUGACUGCUAAUACCGCAUAAGACCACAGUACUGCAUGGUGCAGUGGUAAAAACUCCGGUGGUGUAAGAUGGGCCCGCGUCUGAUUAGGUAGUUGGCGGGGUAACGGCCCACCAAGCCGACGAUCAGUAGCCGACCUGAGAGGGUGACCGGCCACAUUGGGACUGAGACACGGCCCAGACUCCUACGGGAGGCAGCAGUGGGGAAUAUUGCACAAUGGGGGAAACCCUGAUGCAGCGACGCCGCGUGAGCGAUGAAGUAUUUCGGUAUGUAAAGCUCUAUCAGCAGGGAAGAAAAUGACGGUACCUGACUAAGAAGCCC
rnacentral:rRNA from 1 species